GGCUCAGUGGUCUAGUAGUAUGAUUCCUGCUUCGGGUAUUACAACCUCGUCUUUCGGAAGACGGUACUUGCAGGAGGUCCCGGGUUCAAUUCCCGGCUGAGCCC